rnacentral:lncRNA from 1 species
UUCAACAUAGCAGUGUGGAGAGCAGCACAGAGAUCCUGUUCCACUUCAAUCGGAUUGCGGAAGAUUUAAAGGAUCUUCACCUCAGUGAUACUUUCUGAACAUAACAUAAGCAUUCCUAAUUACUCCACCCAAAAGUCAAGUUUGGGAAUGGUGCUGCAGUGCAGACUUGUGGGUGCUAGGCCUAGGAUCUGUGCAAGUCCCAGGUCUACUGCAAUAACUGACCAAAUUGUAUUUAGCUAUUAAUAUUAUCGAUGCCAACACUGCUGCAAUUCACUGCUUGAAUCACACUAUGUUGGGAGAAAAUAUAUGAAAAAUGGUAUAUGCUGAAGAUAUUGGCAGAUCCUGAGAUCCUUAUGUUGUCCUAUGACAGUGAAGUCAGUUAAACUUUUGCUGUUGCCUUCAAUGAAAGUAGGAUCCAUCCUCUUCACUUCUGGUCUUUGCUGUAAAUCAGGUUGUUGUUAUGAAUUAUAGAUCAGAGCUGUAGGAACUUAUGGGUAAAUGUUAAGAGACUUGCACAAUUAGCAUGAGACUCACAUAUGUGUGACUAGGGAGAUGAAUAUUUCUGAUUAUUCAUUCCAUUAAUUUAAAAUGCUUUCUUGUGCUCAGACACUUUCUCUAAUAUUCCCAUAAGUAAGUUUAUGACUGAGGUAAAAGACUGCUGCACAUUACUUUUAGAAAUAGACUCCAAAAAAGGCUAACAAGAAUAUUAUCCAUAAUAAGACAAAAUGGAAAGCAAUGCAAGGUUAUAUACCUAGCUGUACAAAUGGGUUGUGUGGCCAAAACAUUUGGAAUGGAUCAUUAGGAAGCCUCCCAGUGCUGAAUUUCAUAGCCAAGCAAUACAAUUACACCAAUUGUUCUGCACUGAGGCAGUCUGCAGCAUACCUGUGCAGUGGGAGGCAUUUCCCACGCCAGUUCUGGGCUUUGGUAAAUCACCUAGGUUGUUCCAUACCACCGUCAGUCUACAGUUUGUCACAGUGUUCUACAGGUGCCACAGUGGAGGGUGGGGAGUGUGCAUCCUAUAUGCCUCAUAUCCCU